GGUGCCCGGGGCAGCCGUGGCCGGGAGCCGGGCAGGGACAGUGUCCCAAGCUCCCGAGGGCAGCAGGCCGCAGGCCCGGGGACUGCCUGCCCGCCCGCGGGGUGAGAGGUGUCCCCUCUCACACCUUCCCCUCCCCAGCAGCCUCCCCCCGAUGGGUUUGUCUGCCAGCUCUCUUUGCACAGAGGGAAACCAGGCAGCUGUUAGAGGACUAUUUAUCAAGACUAUUGCGUUACUUCAUAGCUCAGCAUCCCAGGAGAGCGUUUACUCGCCCCAAGAGGUUUUUCCCAGGUCUGCUUGACAAACAGUUUGCAUUUGUCUGGUGGGGGCCUAUUAAAGAAUAAGCAUCAUCUCCUGGCUUAUCUCUGACAGCCCUGUAUGGGGUUUGUUGCUUGUGUUGCCCAAAUUCCAUUGUCUUCCUCAAGACUCAAGAAGUCAGGAGCAAACCCCCCAUUUUUACUUCUGUGCCAUGAGCUGUGUCAGUCCACUAUGAGCAAUUGCCUGUUACAACCAGGAAUAGCAAGAACGACAGAAGCAAAAGGGGUUUUAUACAACUAUAUGAGUUACAUAUGUAUAUAUGUAUAAUAGUCAUGGUUGUAAUGUUUUGCUCUGCCUUGAAUUUUACAGGCUGUUUGAACAAUCAGAAAAUUAAAAAAUAACAGACUAUAGUCCAUGAUAUUUGACUUUUUUUUUUUUUUUUUAAACUUUAAUCACAUCCAGAUACUGAGAAUGAGGAGAAGACGGGGCAGUACCUAACGGGAUGAAGAAGCUAUGCAAAUAAACAUGGACUAAUCCAUUGCCAUGCACUAUAAUGGAAGGACAUCCUGAUCACUGUGGAGCAGUAGCAACUUUACCUGGGGCCUGCAUGGAUGUAUGCCAGCCUGUCCUGCAGGAUACAGCCCAGUGAAUAGGAGAAAAAAUGUGUUUGAACUUGGCAUAAUUGCAAUGAACAUAAAGUGACUGCCCACCAAAAGAAAAUGAAGAUGCAUCACUUCAGCUUUUAUAAGGAAGGGAGAAACCAGAGCUGCUUCAUCAGUGCCAGCUCCACACUGUGGUUGGGCUCAGGAAAAGAAUUGCAUUGAUGGAUUAGUGCAACAACCCUCCCAGCUAUGGAAGGGUGCAUCUUACAAGAAAGUCCAUAGGUGACUAAUCAGCCAGACUGGUUAUCCCUCACCCACAGUGGAUUCGAAAGCACAGGCUGUGUGAGGCAGAACUCAGAGGUAGAGCUGGACAUCAGCUGUUUCCUGGUGACUUGCAGACCAAGAAUGACGUGCUGUCUGCUGAGUGACGUUUCUCAUCUGGGAUAUUCCUGCACAUCUGGACACCUUCCACAGACUGUCUCAAGAGAGAGGAAAGAGAGUUUCAAAGGAUUCAUUGGCUUUCUGAUGGCAAACAUCAAACAGAAUGGGUGGUGUUUCACAAACACACUACGUAAUGGGGAAAGGGAAGUAGGAUCUUCAGCGAUGGCCACCACGGCAGCAGUAUGUACAGUAAUUUAUAUGGUGGAUUCAUCUGGAGAUUAUGUUACAGAACAAGCAAUGCAAGAAAGCAAAGGAAACACAAACCCUUUUUUAACCAGUGCUCUAUAUUUUCAGUUAUAGCUGGCACAGUUUAUUACUUUUUAAGGCACUGAACAUAACUAUAUUAAACCCAUGAAGAUG